rnacentral:tRNA from 1 species
GGGCGCGUGGUGUAGUGGUAUCACGCCUGAUUUGCAUUCAGGCAGUCCAGGGUUCGAUCCCCUGCGCGUCCA